rnacentral:rRNA from 1 species
GACGAACGCUGGCGGCGUGCUUAACACAUGCAAGUCGAACGGAAAGGCCCCUUUGGGGGUACUCGAGUGGCGAACGGGUGAGUAACACGUGAGUAACCUGCCCUUGACUUCGGGAUAACUUCAGGAAACUGGGGCUAAUACCGGAUAGGAAUCCUUGCUGCAUGGUGGGGGUUGGAAAGCUUCGGCGGUUUUGGAUGGACUCGCGGCUUAUCAGCUUGUUGGUGGGGUAGUGGCUUACCAAGGCUUUGACGGGUAGCCGGCCUGAGAGGGCGACCGGCCACAUUGGGACUGGGGUACGGCCCAGGCUCCCACGGGAGGCAGCAGGUGGGAAUAUUGCACAAAGGGCGGAAGCCUGAUGCAGCAACGCCGGGGGCGGGAUGACGGGCUUCGGGUUGGAAACCGCUUUCAGCAGGGGCGAAGCUUGUGGUGACGGUACCUGCAGAAGAAGCACCGGCUAACUACGUG